GUUUGAUUUUAAUAGUUAAAUUGUGCAAAGGAAGGAAACACCAUUUACAAGAUAUCGAGUAUGAUAUGAAAUUAAGUUCAACAUGUCUAAGUCACAAACAGAGAAGUUAAUCUCAGUCUUGAAUAAAGAUAACUGAAAACAUCAAAUUUCUAUGAACUACUUCAACGUGUUACUUGGCUCCUAUACUGGCUAUUUGAACGCACGAUAAUAGUCAUCAAAGGUACCAGGAUUAUAAUUUAGUACGCC
rnacentral:lncRNA from 1 species